GUAAGUACCCUGCGACGCGGCCCCGCGCGGUGCGGCGGGGCGGGAUGGGGCGGGAUGCGGCCGUUGGCACCCACUCCCCCCCUUGGGUGAUGGAUGCUCUUGGGAUGAGGUGCAGGACCACCCUGCCACCCCCCCCGGGUGAUGGAUGCCCUUGGGACAAGGCGUAGGGCUGCACUGCCCGUCUCCCACUGCCGGGUGACGGAUGCCAUGGUGGCACGCGGCACAGUAUAGGUGCCCACAGUGCCUGUCCUGGUGCGAGCCCCACGUGCUGAGGGCUGUCGCCAAGGAUGGAGGAUGGAUUUCCAUGUGGGAUGCGGCUCACGGGAGAUCCGUGAGGCCUUGGGAUGCUGGGGGCGUGCACCCACCGGGGCUGCUGGGCAGUGCCAGGUGUCUGCCAGUGGGAGCUGCCGUGUGCUGGGGGCACACGGGGCAGAACGAGGGAACAGUAAUUAAGCAGGGCUGCUGCAGGUAGUGGGAGGAACGUGGCAGCAGCCCUUGGAGGUCAACCCUUGGGGGUCAGCUCUUGGGGGUCAGCCCUUGGAGGUCAGCCUUUGAUGAAGUCAGCCCUUGGGGGUCAGCCCUUGGGGGUCAGCUCUUGGGGGUCAGCCCUUGGUGAGGUCAGCUCUUGGAGGUCAACCCUUGGAGGUCAACCCUUGGAGGUCAGCUGCUCUGCAGCACAGCCGUUUGUCUCCGGUCCCAAAUCUCUGCCUAAAAUCUGUGCGGUGUCUUUCUUCUGUAAUGCUGAAGAAGCUGUUCCAAGGUACAGUGCGCCUUUGGAGAGUGUUUACACUGAGAUCUGAUGAAAUACACAUAAAGUGGUAAUUGUAGGAGAAGCGAUAGGACGUUUCAGUAAAUAGAGCAUAAAGGAGCGCUCUGCAUUUCAUUCCAACCCCACGUUUCGUUCUGGAAUCGCAUUCCAUUCUGGUACUGCGUUUGGCUUUAGUAGUGGCUCCGGCUUUUCCUCCACCACAGCUUCAGAAAGUACUGUUUUCCCAUCAGUAUCUGCAGACAGAAAACAAAGCCCCG
ensembl:lncRNA